rnacentral:rRNA from 1 species
GUGCCUAAUACAUGCAAGUCGAACGGUCUUUUCUAUGGAAGCUUGCUUCCACUGAGAAGAUAGUGGCGAACGGGUGAGUAACACGUGGGUAACCUGCCCAUAAGAGGGGGAUAACAUCCGGAAACGGGUGCUAAUACCGCAUAGUUUUCUUGAUUGCAUGAUUGAGAAGGAAAGACGGCCUUUGUGCUGUCGCUUAUGGAUGGACCCGCGGCGUAUUAGUUAGUUGGUGAGGUAACGGCUCACCAAGACGAUGAUACGUAGCCGACCUGAGAGGGUGAUCGGCCACAUUGGGACUGAGACACGGCCCAAACUCCUACGGGAGGCAGCAGUAGGGAAUCUUCCGCAAUGGACGAAAGUCUGACGGAGCAACGCCGCGUGAGUGAAGAAGGUUUUCGGAAUCGUAAAACUCUGUUGUCAGAGAAGAACAAGUUGGAGAGUAACUGCUCCAGCCUUGACGGUAUCUGACCAGAAAGCCACGGCUAACUACGUGCCAGCAGCUGC